ensembl:ncRNA F32A5.11 ncRNA
GAUAUGAACAGGCAAAUAAGAGAGACAGAUCAGUAGCGAAAAUGACAAAAAGUGUAUUUUCGAAAGUAAAAUAAGACGGGAAAAGUGAGAAA